rnacentral:rRNA from 1 species
UACGGAGGGUGCGAGCGUUGUCCGGAUUCACUGGGCUUAAAGGGCGCGUAGGCGGGCGGUCAAGUCGGGGGUGAAAUCUUUCAGCUUAACUGGAAAAGUGCCUCCGAUACUGAUCGCCUCGAGGGAGGUAGGGGCAUGUGGAACUUCCGGUGGAGCGGUGAAAUGCGUAGAUAUCGGAAGGAACGCCGGUGGCGAAAGCGACGUGCUGGACCUCUUCUGACGCUGAGGCGCGAAAGCUAGGGGAGCAAACAGG